rnacentral:misc_RNA from 1 species
UUUUUUUUUUUUUUUUUCCCCUUUAUUUUCUAUUGUUAUGAUUUGUGCGAGAUGAGGGCAGAGGAGGAGAGGAAAGGAGAGUGCCGAUGGCUUCACGCGAUGGUUGCUGCUGUGCUGACCACGCGUUUAAUUAUUUGCACACAACAUGCAUGAAGGUAGGAGAUGGACUUGAACUUCAUCCUAUGUUGGAAUUUGAACAGAUUAACAUUAAUACUGUGUUAUUGUAAUUAGUGCUACGAAACGCAGCGGUAGCGAGACCCAACAAGUGGUUUUCUCUCAAGUAGGUUAGAGAGAGAGAUUCUUUCGUCCUAUGUUGAGUUUCCUUCUUCUUCUUCUUCCUUUUUUUACUUUUUUUUUUUGGUCUUAUGAUGAUGUUCGUCCUGUACAAUUCAUACCACACCAGAACAAGAACGAACAACAUGAUUAACUCUCAGUGUUCAGAAAGGAUACACAAAACUUUUGACUUGUGUUGUCUCUACUCUGUGAUAGAAAUGCAUUCUUUAUGAGUGCAGUUUAUUUAUUUUAUCUAGUGCCUUUUUUUCUAAUUACGAGAAAAUAAUGGUGUUUUGAGUUUUUUUUUUUUUGUGUCACGUGAUGAAUUGUCUUGAAU